GUGAACGCUGGCGGUAGGCCUAACACCUGCAAGUCGAACGGCAGCACAGUAAGAGCUUGCUCUUACGGGUGGCGAGUGGCGGACGGGUGAGGAAUACAUCGGAAUCUACUUUUUCGUGGGGGAUAACGUAGGGAAACUUACGCUAAUACCGCAUACGACCUACGGGUGAAAGCAGGGGAUCUUCGGACCUUGCGCGAUUGAAUGAGCCGAUGUCGGAUUAGCUAGUUGGCGGGGUAAAGGCCCACCAAGGCGAUGAUCCGUAGCUGGUCUGAGAGGAUGAUCAGCCACACUGGAACUGAGACACGGUCCAGACUCCUACGGGAGGCAGCAGUGGGGAAUAUUGGACAAUGGGCGCAAGCCUGAUCCAGCCAUACCGCGUGGGUGAAGAAGGCCUUCGGGUUGUAAAGCCCUUUUGUUGGGAAAGAAAAGCAGCAGGUUAAUACCCCGCUGUUCUGACGGUACCCAAAGAAUAAGCACCGGCUAACUUCGUG
rnacentral:rRNA from 1 species